UACGUAGGGUGCAAGCGUUAAUCGGAAUUACUGGGCGUAAAGCGUGCGCAGGCGGUUCGUUGUGUCGGCGGUGAAAGCCCCGGGCUCAACCUGGGAAUGGCCGUUGAAACUGGCGAACUGGAGUGUGGCAGAGGGGGGUGGAAUUCCGCGUGUAGCAGUGAAAUGCGUAGAGAUGCGGAGGAACACCGAUGGCGAAGGCAGCCCCCUGGGUCAAGAUUGACGCUCAUGCACGAAAGCGUGGGGAGCAAACAGG
rnacentral:rRNA from 1 species